rnacentral:lncRNA from 1 species
GCCUCUGCCUGGUGAUCUGGUGAGCAGGUGCUGCUGUCUGUAAGAGGAAGGGGCCAGCUGCCCACGGGACAGCAGCAGCUGUCUGGCCUCCCCAGGCUGGUGGCCAGGGGGCUGCCUUCCCCAUCAGGGGUGGCACCCACUCAGAUUACUUUUGCUUUUGGGACUCAGCCGGACGUCUGUUUUGGGUGAGAGGAUGCAUGCUCUUCCUUCCCUCCAGGAUGCCCCUGUUCCAGGCUCUCUGCAGCAGUCCUGCCUUGAAUUGGCCGUGUGAUCUGAGGCUGGUCACUUAACCUCUCUGGUUAUCCAUAUCCUCAUCCAUAGAAUGGAGAUAAUCAUUCUCACCACUGAGGGAUGCUGUGAGGAUCGGGCAAGGCCACAAGUGUGACCUUUUAGCACGUUCGGCCUCUUCUGUGAUCCUGAAGUCACGUUUGACACUGACGGCAUCCACAUCCGUUGGAUGGAAAGCUUCUCCAAGCAGGGGCCUCUCCCUUCCUCUUUACAGAGCCCAGCAUGCAGGAAGUAUGCAGCAUGUGUCUGUUCCUAGGUGGACAAAUGCAUCCUUGAACGAGGAGCUGGCACCUCUCUCUUGAAGAUCUGUUUAUUUCAUGUCAUGUAAGGGCAUUGUUUCUGAAACUAUGGCUAAAUUUAGACUUUCCUUCUGCUGGGAGUCAUGGGAUGGGUUAGAAAUUUAUUCCUAGCCAGGCACAGUGGCUCACGCCUGUAAUCCCAGUGUUUUGGGAGGCUGAGAAGGGAGGGUGGCUUCAGCCCAAGAGUUCUAGACAAGUUUGGGCAACAUAGCAAGAUCCUGUCCCUACAAAAAAUGAAAACAAAAAUAGCUGGGUGUGGCAGGACGUGUCUGUAGUCUCAGCUACUCAGGAGGCUGAGGUGGGAGGAUUGCUUGAGCCCAGGAGGUGGAGCCUGCAGUAAGCUGAGAUUGCACCACUGCACUCCAGCCUGGAGUAGACAGCAAGACCCUGUUUCAAAUUGAAAAAAAAAAAAAAAAGGGAUGCUGUAUUAGUCAGCUCUUACACUACAAUAAAGAAAUACCUGAGACCGGGUAAUAAAAAAAGAGGUUUAACUGGCAAAUGGUUCCGCAGGCUUUACAGGAAGCAUGAUGGCUUCUGCUUAUAGGGAGGCCUCAGGAAACUUAUAAUCAUGGUGGAAUGUGAAGGGGAAGCACAUGCACAUCACAUGGCUGGAGCAGGAGGGAGGGAGUGAGGGGGCAGGUCCCACACACGUUUAAACAACUGGAUUUUGUGAAAACUCUAUUAUGAGAAUAGCAAAGGGGGAAAAUUCACCCCCAUGAUCCAGUCACCUCCCACCAGGCCCCACCACCAACACUGGGGAUUAUAUUUCAACAUAAGGUUUGGAUGGGGGCACAAAUCCAAACCAUAUCAAAUGUACUCCUGGGCUCUUACAGGUACAACCAAGUAGCUAAAUCUGGGGCAGAUUUUGGCUUGGAGUCUUGGAGAAGGUUCCGGUUGCCAUGUUUCUUGCCUUGCCAAGCCAGCUACCCAGAGGGUCUAGUGCCCCAAACAUCCCACAGCCUGGCCUGGGAUGCCCCAUGCUACGUGCUCCCCCACCUGGCUGUCCUGCCCUGUUCUUGCCUUCAGCAGCUCCCAGAUGCUCUUCUUAGGGACUACUGAUGACAUUCACAGUAACUCAAAAGUGCUUCACCGUUUUGGAAAUUGCAAAGUAGAUGGGGUUCCACAGACAACACCAGGCAAGGGAACCUGGUUACUAAAGCCAACGGAGCAUCAAGGUUGUCUUAGGAUAAGUUAUCCGGAGUUCCACUUGCACUUGAUUAUUUGAGUGGUAAAAUGAAGAUAUUAAUACAUACUAUAGGAAAUGCCCUGUUGGAAUGAACUGUCAGGUUAAUUGCUUUAAUCCUCUAUGCCCCAUUAUCGGUGAGAAUCUGGUUAUAGUCAAUCACAAAGUAAGAGUCAACAGACCAAUCUGAGCAGGGAGAGUGAAGUGAUAAAUAUACAGAUGCUAGGUGCUGAUGAAGGCUAAUGAUGAAGGCCAUUCGUAAUGCCACUAGGAUUUUGUGAGACUGAGUCUGUGGCCCAGUGAGGAAAUCCGUCUCACCAUACUGGUUUUCCAUUGGCUACCAUAUGGCAUCAUUUUAAAGUCAGUGGACCUCAAUUUCUCUUCUAUGGUGAUAGAACUAAAGGAUGUCAUUACAUAAGGGGUACACUCAGGCUGUGAUGUUGUUAAAUAAGGCCAUGGCCCUCAAUAAACCAUGCCUGCCAGUAUGCACAUUCUUGGAUGCAUAUUGAAUCUGCGCUGGUUCUGUGAUUUGUUUUAACCAAUAAACUGUGAUGGAAGUUACACUAUACCAAUUCUGGGCUUUAGCCUUAAGAAGGCCUUACAGCUUCUGCUUUUGCACUUUGAUACCCUGAGCUUCUAUGUAAGAAGUUCACCUACCCUGAUGAAGGGAUCACAUAGAGAGACCCCUAGAGGGGCACUCAGGGAGGUCAGAAGGAAGGGAGAGGCCCUGAGACAAAAUGGAUAGAAAGACCAACCAUCCCAGCACCCCAACUGAGCCCAGUUCCUAGCAGACUCUUCAGCUGAAUGCACUGAUACAAGUGACCUCUGGUAAGAUCAGCAGAACAACCAUUCAGCUAAGCCCAGCCACAAUGGAAGAAUUACAAGAAAUAGUAACAGAAUUGUUAUUUUAAGUCACUGAGUUUUGGUGUAGUUUGUUAUGACCAAAACAACCCAGUUCUCAGGACAAAUAUUUUAGCUUCACCUCUCAUGUGGAUAUUUGAGUAUAUGACCAUCUGUAUAAGUCUGAGUUUUCCAGAGAAAGAGAAACAAUACUAUGUGUGUGUGUAUAUAAAAGAUACUUAUUUUAGAGAAUGGGCUCGUAUAAUUGUGGAGGCUUGGUGAGUCCCAACAUCUGAUGUGGGAGGCCAUCAGGCUGGGGGUUCAGGAAAACAAUUACAGUUUGAGUCCAAGGGCAGUCUGGUGAAAAACCAGGAAGGGCUAGUGUUGCAGUUGAAGUCUGAAGGCAGGCAGUCUCAUGGGGAAUUCCCUCUUGCUUGAGGGAGUUCAGCAUUUUUUUUUUUGAGACAGGGUCUCCUCUGUUGCCCAGGUUGGACGCAGUGGCACAAUCGAACUCCUGGACUCAAGUGACCCUCCUGCCUCUGCCUCCCAAGUAACUGGGACUGUAGACUUGUGCUACUCGGCUAAUUUAAAUUUUUUUUUUUUUUUUGGUAGAGAUGGAGGUCUUGCUUUGUUGCCCAGGCUGGUCUCCAAAUCUGGAGGUCAGCCUUUUGUUCUAGACUUUAAUUGAUGAUUGGAGGGGGCCCACCCACAGUGCGGACAAUGUACUUUACUAAAAGUUUGCAGAUUUAAACACAAAUCUCAUCCAAAAACACCCUCACAGAAGCAUCCAGAACAAUGUUUGGACUACAUAUCUGGGCACUGUGGCCCAGCCAAGUUGACAUAAAAUUAACCAUCACACCAUCCAUUGGCAGAAAAUAGGUUUUCUUUGAUUUCACCCAGAGGUCAGUAUGUGAUUUUUGAAGAGAGAACCAGACUAGAGAAUAAAGAGACUUGCAUUUUAAUCCAACUACUGCCACUAACAUCAUCAUCAGCCAACCUAAUUCCUCUGAGCCUCAGUUUUUCCCACUGGGUUAAUUUUAAUUUUGUUUAAUUUUGUGGUGUUCUUUCACCUUAUUACCUCUUACAGGCAACUUUGGCAAGAUGUUUAUUCUUAUAGGCAAAAUUCACAGAAACCAAAAGCAUGUUCUUAAACACCCUGAGGCUCUGGGACUUCAUUGUUCUGUGCCACAGAUCAGAGGAAAGUAAUUUUGAAAGGAUCACAGGUUAUUGGAUUGUGUAAUUUUUAAAAAUUUCAACAGUAAAUACUUAUGAAAUGUACUGUGUGACUAUGUAAUUUUCAUGUAGACACCUUAAGU